UUGACAGCCGUACGACCCCCG
rnacentral:miRNA from 1 species